AGCCAGCGGAUUCAAAAACUACGAGGAAGGUCGGGAGUUCCUCUUGCAGAUUUUUAUUUUAAAGGGGGGGAGGGAGGAAAAAAAUUGCUAGCGGGGAGGAGAGACUGGGAAAGGGGGCCGGGCUCUGCCCUGCUCAGCUUCCCCACCGCCUGCUAGUUGACAGCCGAGAGGCUGGAAGUGGCCGGGGCGCCCGUGCAAGAGAGGCUGCCAGGCUCUUCCUCAGCCGGACCCUCCCAGAGGGCUGCCUGCCGUGUCACGGCUCUCCUCCUCCUCGCUCAGCUGUUUCCCCCUCGCCAGGUUCCGGGCUGGCGACCGCUCUUCUCGCUUCCACGCUCCAGCCCCUCCGCCCGCUGCGCUUGUUGUAUCCCUUCUGGCGCAGGACUCACGCUGACAGAUCCCAGCCAGCCAGAUUCCGCGGCGGCGGCGACGGUGGCCUAGGCAGGCCAAACCGCGAAACGGAAAAGGAGGACGGAGGAGAAGAGAACCUCGAGACCGGCUAAACCAGCAUCCACCCCCUGAAGUAUUCCUGUGAAUGCUGUCACGCUGGCUACACUUCAUUAAAUGGACACACUGCAGAAAUUCACACUUCAGCCUGUGAGUCACAUCAUGCCUAAGGCCAAAGGAUAUCCGGCAGCACACACCUUUGGCUUAUUAUGGCUUAGUGUAAAGGAAGAAAUGAAAGAGAUGAAGCCAUGCGUGUUGUCACCUCUGCUAACCAUAAGCGGCAGUUUACAGUCUUCUCAUUGU